rfam:Trichomonas vaginalis G3, whole genome shotgun sequence.
GCCCUAGUAGCCUAGUGGUUAUAGCGUGUGCCUCGUAAGCGCAAGGUCGCCGGUUCGACUCCGGUCUGGGGCA